UACAGAGGUCUCAAGCGUUGUUCGGAGUUACUGGGCGUAAAGAGUACGUAGGCGGUUUGCCGAGUUUGGUGUGAAAUCUCCUGGCUUAACUGGGAGGGUGCGCCGAAUACUGGCGGGCUUGAGUAUUGGAGAGGAAAGCGGAAUUCCUGGUGUAGCGGUGAAAUGCGUAGAUAUCAGGAGGAACACCGGUGGUGUAGACGGCUUUCUGGACAAUCACUGACGCUGAGGUACGAAAGCGUGGGUAGCAAACAGG
rnacentral:rRNA from 1 species